GAUUAAUGCUGGCGGCGUGCCUAAUACAUGCAAGUCGAACGGGUUUAGACCCGUGGCGAACGGGUGAGUAACGCGUAGGAAGUUGCUCCGAAGUCGGGUAUAACCCGCCGAAAGGCGGAAUAACACCCGAUAUGCCGUAAGGUGAAAGUUUACGCUUCGGAAGACGCCUGCGUCCUAUCAGCUAGUUGGUGAGGUAACGG
rnacentral:rRNA from 1 species